UACGGAGGGUGCAAGCGUUAUCCGGAUUUACUGGGUUUAAAGGGUGCGUAGGCGGGCAGGUAAGUCAGGGGUGAAAUCUUCGAGCUUAACUCGGAAACUGCCUUUGAUACUAUCUGUCUUGAAUAUUGUGGAGGUAAGCGGAAUAUGUCAUGUAGCGGUGAAAUGCUUAGAUAUGACAUAGAACACCUAUUGCGAAGGCAGCUUACUACGCAUAUAUUGACGCUGAGGCACGAAAGCGUGGGGAUCAAACAGG
rnacentral:rRNA from 1 species